GAGUGUACCGCCCAACGGCGAGACGGACCGAAAGUUGUAGACAUGGAUGUGAUUGUUUAUAGAGUAUUUAACAAAAAGAACUGGAGUACAUAAUUCGAC
rnacentral:sRNA from 1 species